GUUCACUGUUAUUUCUAGUAAGUUGCUUGAGUCUAAAUAGAACCUUGUUUCACUUUGGCACACUACAAACUAUUUUUAAUCAUUUUAGAAUUAUACAUUGGAUAAUUUCGUGAUAUGUAAUCUGACGGAAAGACAUGAAGUAAUUUCAUUUAUGAUGUCAUUGGAAGAUACAUACGCACAGAGUCAUACACGUGUAAAGAAUUUGAGCCAACCGGGAAGGUGCAAUGAAGUAGGCAAAUCCACAUCAGACCGAUGUCGCUUAGUUUCAUAUGAGACCAGAACUAUAUGAGCAGAACUAAGAUGAAACAUAGUUCCAAAGGUGACCGUUCCUGUUCAUACUUCUGACAGUGCCAACUAUUUUCAACGAAUAUUGCAUUUUGCAAGAUGUUGCGCUGGACUAUGACAGAUAUUUUGUUGGCAUCACUAGAAGAUCGGAAGACGAUUUAGUUCAAGCAACAACACUGGCCGGAUUAGAUUUCAGAGGCAGGAUUAGGAUUUCAGUAUUUUGUUAUCCCUCUUUAACUUUUGAUUCGAAAUAUCGCCAGGUUGGACUUCACCAUGCCUUUCUAUAUAUGUAUGCUUAGCAUUUACCCAAGAUUUUGAAUAAAAUCUUCCCUCAGAA